rnacentral:lncRNA from 1 species
GCCAUUAUUGCCCUCAUCACUUUUGAUACUUGCUUUUCUUACAUGCAUCCUCAGUUUGGUCGUUCUUAUUUAUCUCUAGAGACACCUUGAUACAUCUUUUUCUUUUUCUUAACAAUUGGACCUUUCGUCAUGUUUCUUUCUCUUCGAUGGGCGUUCUGUUCCAUACAUCAGUUCCAACAGAAGUCAUUCAGGUCAAAUUGUUUACAACUUGAUGCACCUUUAUUGUCUUCAUGGAUUUUUAGUUCUAGUUUUGUUGUAAGAUAUGGCAGUCCGAAUCCAUCUGAUUGCUUUCUGUUCUCCUGUUGCGCUGAUGGUCUCUUGCUGCUAAGAUGUCCAAGAAAUUUGUCGGUAAAGCAGCCUAAAAUUGUAAUGUGAGCAGAAAAGCUUCCUGCCUGCUUGCUCCUUUACGUGGAACGAUGGACACACUUUAGAGAAGAUGUUCCAAGGCAGCUCUCCCCGAGCAGGACGGACAUCUUUUCCUUGGGGUCUUUGCGUAAGUUCUAAGCAACUCCACUGCAACUCUUCUCUUGCUGAGCUGAAGAAG